rnacentral:misc_RNA from 1 species
GUGAAGGUGAUAUAAAACCAUCAUCGAGGAAUGCUUGGCACGACGUAGAGUGUCGUAUUGAUAAUGAUUUCCUUGGCAAAGACUCAGAAAUGCCUGCCUUGUGUCAAAAAACUCACUUUCUAGGAUCUCAUCAUUAUCUUUAGUGUCUGGAGCCACAUCUGUGAUUUCAAUCGGGCGGAACACAUGUUUCUCCCUACUAUUGAUUGGAUGUCUCUCCCGUUCUUCAAGUCUUCGUUCCACGUCAAAACACUUAUCACAGAGCUGGAAGUUUUUGCAAUGGUUGCAAACCCAGCGUGUCCCUGAUACCAUUAGUGUACAGCAAUGAUUGCAUGCAUGUUGUAAAUGAACCAUAAUAAAAUCUUCUUUCAUGGGGCAUAUAGUCUCGCCAAGCUUUUGCAUCAGAAGGGCGUCUUUAGAUGCAUUGCCGGUAAGAUCAGCAUGACCAGCAGCUUUUAGAGCUCUUUUUGUUAUAGUCUUCUUCGUUUU